rnacentral:rRNA from 1 species
ACUCCUACGGGAGGCAGCAGUGGGGAAUAUUGCACAAUGGGCGCAAGCCUGAUGCAGCCAUGCCGCGUGUGUGAAGAAGGCCUUCGGGUUGUAAAGCACUUUCAGUAGGGAGGAAGGUAGUGUAGUUAACACCUGCACUAUUUGACGUUACCUACAGAAGAAGCACCGGCUAACUCCGUGCCAGCAGCCGCGGUAAUACGGAGGGUGCGAGCGUUAAUCGGAAUUACUGGGCGUAAAGCGCAUGCAGGCGGCCUGUUAAGUCAGAUGUGAAAGCCCGGGGCUUAACCUCGGAAUUGCAUUUGAAACUGGCAGGCUAGAGUCUUGUAGAGGGGGGUAGAAUUUCAGGUGUAGCGGUGAAAUGCGUAGAGAUCUGAAGGAAUACCAGUGGCGAAGGCGGCCCCCUGGACAAAGACUGACGCUCAGAUGCGAAAGCGUGGGGAGCAAACAGGAUUAGAUACCCUGGUAGGAUAGCG